UCCGGUUGUGUUAUUACUGAGUUCAGCAU
rnacentral:sRNA from 1 species